rnacentral:rRNA from 1 species
GACGAACGCUGGCGGCGUGCCUAAUACAUGCAAAUCGAACGAACCGCGACUGAGUGCUUGCACUUGGUCAAGGUGAGUGGCGAACGGGUGAGUAACACGUGGGUAACCUACCUCAUAGUGGGGGAUACCAGUCGGAACCGACUGCUAUUACCGCAUAGGACAUAGGAUCACAUCAUCCAGUGAUGAAAGCUGGCGCAAGCUAUCGCUACGAUAUGGACCCGCGUUGCAUUAGCUAGUUGGUAGGGUAAAGGCCUACCAAGGCGAUGAUGCAUAGCCGACCUGAGAGGAUGAUCGGCCACAUUGGGACUGAGACACGGCCCAAACUCCUACGGGAGGCAGCAGUAGGGAAUAUUCCGCAAUGGGAGCAAGUCUGACGGAGCAACGCCGCGUGAGUGAAGAAGGUCUUCGGAUCGUAAAGCUCUGUUGUUAGAGAAGAACAGCGGAUAGAGUAACUGCUAUGCGUGUGACGGUAUCUAACCAGAAAGCAACGGCUAACUACGUG